AGUGAACGCUGGCGGUAGGCCUAACACAUGCAAGUCGAACGGCAGCACAGUAAGAGCUUGCUCUUAAGGGUGGCGAGUGGCGGACGGGUGAGGAAUACAUCGGCAUCUACUUUUUCGUGGGGGAUAACGUAGGGAAACUUACGCUAAUACCGCAUACGAUCUACGGGUGAAAGCAGGGGAUCUUCGGACCUUGCGCGAUUGAAUGAGCCGAUGUCGGAUUAGCUAGUUGGCGGGGUAAAGGCCCACCAAGGCGACGAUCCGUAGCUGGUCUGAGAGGAUGAUCAGCCACACUGGAACUGAGACACGGUCCAGACUCCUACGGGAGGCAGCAGUGGGGAAUAUUGGACAAUGGGCGCAAGCCUGAUCCAGCCAUACCGCGUGAGUGAAGAAGGCCUUCGGGUUGUAAAGCCCUUUUGUUGGGAAAGAAAAGCAGCAGGUUAAUACCCCGCUGUUCUGACGGUACCCAAAGAAUAAGCACCGGCUAACUUCGUG
rnacentral:rRNA from 1 species